rnacentral:rRNA from 1 species
UACGGAGGGGGCUAGCGUUGUUCGGAAUUACUGGGCGUAAAGCGCACGUAGGCGGCUUUGUAAGUUAGAGGUGAAAGCCCGGGGCUCAACCCCGGAAUUGCCUUUAAGACUGCAUCGCUAGAAUUGUGGAGAGGUAAGUGGAAUUCCGGGUGUAGAGGUGAAAUUCGUAGAUAUUCGGAAGAACACCAGUGGCGAAGGCGACUUACUGGACACAUAUUGACGCUGAGGUGCGAAAGCGUGGGGAGCAAACAGG